UACAGAGGUCUCAAGCGUUGUUCGGAAUUACUGGGCGUAAAGGGCGCGUAGGCGGUCUGCUAAGUUGGAUGUGAAAACUCUGGGCUUAACCCAGAGCCUGCAUUCAAUACUGACAGGCUAGAGUUCUGGAGGGGAUAGCGGAAUUCCUGGUGUAGCGGUGAAAUGCGUAGAUAUCGAGAGGAACACCUGCGGCGAAGGCGGGUUGCUGGGCUGACACUGACGCUGAAGCGCGAAAGCUAGGGGAGCGAACGGG
rnacentral:rRNA from 1 species